GGGAAUGUGGCUCAGUGGUAGAGUGCUUGCCUAGCAUGCAUGAAGCCCUGGGUUCAACCUCUCAGUACCA
rnacentral:tRNA from 1 species